UUACGGCCAUAUAGCAUUGAAAUGGUUCCUAUACGAUCGCCAAAGUUAAGCAACAGUGAGCCUGGUCAGUACCUAGAUAGAUGACCAAUUGGGAAUACCAGGUGCUGUAAG